rnacentral:lncRNA from 1 species
AAAUGAUGUGUGUGGUAACUGCUUAAGGUGUGAAUGCAUGUGGGAGCAGGAGGGAAGGAAAGCAAAUAUGGUGGUGGUGGACUGAAUGGAUUCUUUGGAAAUGGAGGAUACAAAGGUUAAGUCAAUCAGCUGAGGCCUUCUUCAAGUGAAUAUUUGUUCCGUUCCAUCAUGUGUUCAUUGUGAUGUUUGUUGUUUGGUCUGUUGUUACAUUUAGCUAUUCCAUUUUUGUUCUUAUUUGUCUGUUUUUUUGUUCAUGGUCCUUGUCUUUUGUAUUGUUGUGUGUCUGUCCCCUCUCUUCCUCUACUGUGUUUGGAGAUUGUGUUGCCAGUGUGUUUGUGUUCAUAUCCAUUUCACACUAAAGGUCAGAAAGCAACCGUAUAAUGUCUGUCAGUCUCCUCAUUCUUUUAACCUUGGCAACAGUAUGGUAAAUGUACUGUACAUGUGAUGUGGGGGUUGAGUUUUAAGACUGAAGCUCUAUGAGUUUAAAU